GACGGGGUCUCACUGUGUCACCCAGGUUACCAGGUCGGAGUGCAGUGGUGUGAUCGCGGCUCACUGCAACCUCCACCUCCGAGGCUCAAUCGAUCCUCCCAACUCAGCCUCCCAAGUAGCUGGGACCACAGACAUCCUCCAUGUGCCUGGCUAAUUUUUUGUAUUUUCGGUAGAGACAAGGGUUUCGCCACGUUGCCCAGGCUGGUCUCGAACCCCUGAGCUCAGGCGAUCCACCCACCUCAGCCUCCCAAAGUGCUGGGAUGACAGGCGUGAGCCACUGUGCCCGGCCUAAAUGCCAGCUAUUAAAUAACUCAGGGACUGAAGGCUUGAGGACGCAUCAGGUUAAAUAGUAGUCAGUGCAGCCCUGGGAGAUGCUAAGCCUGGGGCUGCCACAGAUGGUGUGGUAUCUGGGGUUCCCCCAAGGCCAUCAGGCCACUCACUAGCAGGUUUCUGGGUGCCGAAGUGGAGCUCCAGGUCGAGGUAUUUCACCAUGUCACUCAGCUUAUCGUAGUCAGAGUCUUCCCCGAGCUGCGAGGGAGGAUGGGAGGUUCAGAGUAGGAGGAGCAGCAGCAGCUGGACUGGCCUCCCACUUCCCACCCUCUGAGGGCUGCCAUAGGGGCUUCCCGAGCAAAAGCACCCAUCAGGUGCUGGGAUAAAGCCCGGAGCAGGAGGAGACUGCAGGAGAAGCCAGAUCAUCCGAGUCACCGGGUGCUGAGCCAGCGCCUCCUGGGGUCAAUCGAGACUCAAGACUUGGAACACUACUCGUGCAGAAGCCAGCAAGGUGGGACUGCAGCGGGGGCAUGAAGGAGCUGUGAAGAGGCUAGAGCCAAGUAAGGGGCUACCGGAGGUGGCUCAGGGGUCUGGCUCUGUCAUCAGGUCUCCUUGGAGAGCGGUGAGUUCACCAGGGCUGCCCUGGGCAGAGUGAGCUGGUGCUGAGAGAACUGCAACUGUGACAGCCUAGGGGCCAGACGCUGGACACGUGGCUGUGAUGAAUGGCAUAGAUGAGAGACCGCCACACCUCGCCUCACCCGCCUCCCUCCACACCUGCUUGCGUGCCCACCUCCUCGUAGUC
rnacentral:lncRNA from 1 species